UAACCUGGCAGUAUGGGAAGUACAAA
rnacentral:piRNA from 1 species